UGAUUUGUUCACUGUGCUUUUGCAGCUCAUGUAGCUCUGCUGGGAUAGUUUCUCUUGCAGAAUUGAUUUGGCUCUCCAUCCAUACCUGCACGAAUGCUUUGGGAGAUGGUUACCUUUAGAGCAGUCAUUUUGGGACCAGUGGCAGUACCAUGGACAUGCAAAAGCUCAACAAAAUAAUGUCUGCGGACCCUGCAAAAGCUCAGUCAAAGCUGAGCUGAGAACCACUGUGAUCUCCGGAAUUUGUGCUAUCUUUUUGUGAUGCUGAUUUGUGGAUGUCUUGCUCAUGCUAAAAGCUUAUGGUGCUGAAAGGGGUCAACAUGGGUCAGGUAAUACUUGACCAGAAUUCUUUUCGUUCUCCAGUGGAGUCAGAUACGAUCAAUUAAAAUACAUCUUUGAAUCAUCCCCAUUUAUUUGUAUACUUUUUCUUUCUAUUUCCUACAUGGUUUGGGUUGGGCUAUUAUAUCAGUAUCCAACCUUUACCUCAAAUUUGCAUCUCAAGCAAAUGUAUGGCCAUUCUGGGCGCAAUAGUAAUCAGUAUGCCAUGGAGAUCU